CCCCAACAAUGACCUCUGCGCCUGUGAAAGGAUGAGGAGAUAAGUACUUUAAUCAGCAGGAACAUGUAACAACAAAGAGGUUUGUAGAUAACAGAACAAAGACACUUUCAGAUGCUUUUUCCUCGAUGGGUGUGUAAAACAGGGAUAAGCAACACCCUCGCCAAGGACACGAGAGAGAAGUAUGGAUCAUGAAAUGCAUAUAAAGUUGUGCCAACCCCCAACUGAAUGAUAGAGGAAACACUGUUCUGCAUCUGGGAGCCAAACAUGGUCAAUCAUAAUUCAAGGCCCAUUUGAAGUGGAACAGGAAAAGAGCAUAUAGAAGAACCUACUGUGGCCUUCAAAAGUGCUAAAAACUCCAAGGAACCUCUCUAGAGUCAGUAUGUGGUUUGUCUUUUUUGGGCUACUGUAGAAACGCGGCUGUGUAACAUGUUGCACUAAAGGAUGCUGCUGGAAGCCGCUGCCAUCAGUGCAUGAGUGUGUCUGAAUCCAAAAAUGAAAAAAAAAAAAAAAGAGAUUCUUUCAGGCAAUGAGCAGAUAA